rnacentral:rRNA from 1 species
GACGAACGCUGGCGGCGUGCUUAACACAUGCAAGUCGAACGGAAAGGCCCUGCUUUUGUGGGGUGCUCGAGUGGCGAACGGGUGAGUAACACGUGAGUAACCUGCCCUUGACUUUGGGAUAACUUCAGGAAACUGGGGCUAAUACCGGAUAGGAGCUCCUGCUGCAUGGUGGGGGUUGGAAAGUUUCGGCGGUUGGGGAUGGACUCGCGGCUUAUCAGCUUGUUGGUGGGGUAGUGGCUUACCAAGGCUUUGACGGGUAGCCGGCCUGAGAGGGUGACCGGCAACAUUGGGACGGAGAUACGGCCCAGACUCCUACGGGAGGCAGCAGUGGGGAAUAUUGCACAAUGGGCGGAAGCCUGAUGCAGCAACGCCGCGUGCGGGAUGACGGCCUUCGGGUUGUAAACCGCUUUCGCCUGUGACGAAGCGUGAGUGACGGUAAUGGGUAAAGAAGCACCGGCUAACUACGU